CAGCAGCCACGGUAACACGUAGGGCGCAAGCGUUAUCCGGAAUUAUUGGGCGUAAAGAGCUCGUAGGCGGUUUGUCGCGUCUGCCGUGAAAGUCCGGGGCUCAACCCCGGAUCUGCGGUGGGUACGGGCAGACUAGAGUGAUGUAGGGGAGACUGGAAUUCCUGGUGUAGCGGUGAAAUGCGCAGAUAUCAGGAGGAACACCGAUGGCGAAGGCAGGUCUCUGGGCAUUAACUGACGCUGAGGAGCGAAAGCAUGGGGAGCGAACAGGAUUAGAUACCCCGGUAGUCCCUGUCUCUUAUAC
rnacentral:rRNA from 1 species